rnacentral:rRNA from 1 species
AGUGAACGCUGGCGGUAGGCCUAACACAUGCAAGUCGAACGGCGGCACAGUAAGAGCUUGCUCUUACGGGUGGCGAGUGGCGGACGGGUGAGGAAUACAUCGGAAUCUACUUUUUCGUGGGGGAUAACGUAGGGAAACUUACGCUAAUACCGCAUACGACCUACGGGUGAAAGCAGGGGAUCUUCGGACCUUGCGCGAUUGAAUGAGCCGAUGUCGGAUUAGCUAGUUGGCGGGGUAAAGGCCCACCAAGGCGACGAUCCGUAGCUGGUCUGAGAGGAUGAUCAGCGACACUGGAACUGAGACACGGACCAGACUCCUACGGGAGGCAGCAGUGGGGAAUAUUGGGCAAUGGGCGCAAGCCUGAUCCAGCCAUACCGCGUGGGUGAAGAAGGCCUUCGGGUUGUAAAGCCCUUUUGUUGGGAAAGAAAAGCAGCAGGUUAAUACCCCGCUGUUCUGACGGUACCCAAAGAAUAAGCACCGGCUAACUUCGUG